UGCGUAGGCGGUUUGUUAAGUCAGAUGUGAAAGCCCCGGGCUCAACCUGGGAACUGCAUUUGAUACUGGCAGGCUAGAGUACGGUAGAGGGUGGUGGAAUUCCCGGUGUAGCGGUGAAAUGCGUAGAGAUCGGGAGGAACAUCCGUGGCGAAGGCGGCCCCCUGGACGAAGACUGACGCUCAGGUGCGAAAGCGUGGGGAGCAAACAGGAUUAGAUACCCCAGUA
rnacentral:rRNA from 1 species